rnacentral:rRNA from 1 species
GGGUUGUGAGGUUAAGCGACUAAGCGUACACGGUGGAUGCCCUGGCAGUCAGAGGCGAUGAAGGGCGUGCUAAUCUGCGAUAAGCGCCGGUAAGGUGAUAUGAACCGUUAUAACCGGCGAUACCCGAAUGGGGAAACCCAGUGUGAUUCGUCACACUAUCAUUAACUGAAUCCAUAGGUUAAUGAGGCGAACCGGGGGAACUGAAACAUCUAAGUACCCCGAGGAAAAGAAAUCAACCGAGAUUCCCCCAGUAGCGGCGAGCGAACGGGGAGGAGCCCAGAGCCUGAAUCAGCAUGUGUGUUAGUGGAAGCGUCUGGAAAGGCGCGCGAUACAGGGUGACAGCCCCGUACACAAAAGCGCAUGUGCUGUGAGCUCGAUGAGUAGGGCGGGACACGUGGUAUCCUGUCUGAAUAUGGGGGGACCAUCCUCCAAGGCUAAAUACUCCUGACUGACCGAUAGUGAACCAGUACCGUGAGGGAAAGGCGAAAAGAACCCCGGCGAGGGGAGUGAAAAAGAACCUGAAACCGUGUACGUACAAGCAGUGGGAGCCCCACCACCAAAGCAUUUGCUGUACCGCGUUGACGGAGCGAAGCGA